rnacentral:sRNA from 1 species
GGUAUGGAAUGUGUCCUCUCAAGGGAGCAAGUGGAUGCCCUGGGGCUGAGAGGAGUCUUCUGGUGCAGUCUUAUUUUGAAAAGGGUCUGGAUGUCGCCCAGACUGGAGUGCAGUAGCAUGAUCAUGGCCCACUGCAGCCUUGACCCCCCAGGCUCAAGUGAUCCUCCCACCUCAGCCUCCAGAGUAGCUGGGACUACAGACAUAUGCCACCAUAUCCAGCUAAUUAUUUUUAUUUAUUAUUAUUUUUUACAGACAGGGGCUCACUGUGUUGACUAGACUGGUCUUGAACUGCUGCGCUCAAGUAAUCCUCCCACCUCAGCCUCCCAAAGUACUGAGAUUAUAGGCAUGAAUCACUAUGCCCGGUGCAUUUCUUUUGCAUUUAAUUUUGCAUUUUUCUAAGAGAUGGGGUCCCGAUAUGUUGUCCAGGUUGAAGUGCAGUAGCUGUUUCUAUAGGCACCAUCACG